UUGCUUUGGCAGAUUUUAAUGCAUUAGGUUUAGGACCUAAAAAUAUAGUUUAUUCUAUAAGCAAUA
rnacentral:tRNA from 1 species